AGUUAAUAUUCUACCGGCGUAAAGAGUGCUUAAAUAUUUAUCAAAUAGAGCUAAGACUAGUCUUCGCUGUAAAAAGCCAAAGCCAAAGUAAAAAUCAAUAACGAAAGUAACUCUAAUUUUUGUAGCACUAAAGCUAUUACCUAAACUGGGAUUAGAUACCCCACUAUAAUUAGCCAUAAACAUAAGUAGUUCAUAACAUUACUACUCGCCAGAGAACUACAAGCCACCGCUUAAAACUCAAAGGACUUGGCGGUGCUUUAUAUCCACCUAGAGGAGCCUGUUCCAUAACCGAUGAUCCCCGAUUUACCUCACCACUCCUUGCUAAUUCAGCCUAUAUACCGCCAUCUUCAGUUAACCCUAAAAAGGAAAUAAAGUAAGCCUAAUCAGUAUUACUAAAGAAGUUAGGUCAAGGUGUAGCCCAUGGAGUGGAGCGAAAUGGGCUACAUUUUCUAUUACUAGAACAUUACGAAACUCUACGUGAAAUCCGUAGAAUAAAGGAGGAUUUAGUAGUAAAUUAAAACUAGAGUGUUUAAUUGAAUAGAGCAAUGAAGCACGCACACACCGCCCGUCACCCUCCUCAAUUUCUCAACAAUUAAAAGUACAUAACACCUAAUUACAAAAGAUUGAGAGGAGACAAGUCGUAACAAGGUAAGUGUACUGGAAAGUGCACUUGGAAAAAUC
rnacentral:ncRNA from 1 species